rnacentral:rRNA from 1 species
UACGGGGGGUGCGAGCGUUGUCCGGAAUCACUGGGCGUAAAGGGCGCGUAGGUGGCGUCGUAAGUCUGUGGUGAAAGCCCGGAGCUCAACUCCGGGUCUGCCGCGGAUACUGCGAGGCUUGAGUGCUGUAGAGGGGGGUAGAAUGCCGGGCGUAGCGGUGGAAUGCGUAGAGAUCGGGAAGAACAUCAGUGGCGAAGGCGGCCUGCUGGGCUGUUGCUGACGCUGAGGCGCGACAGCGUGGGGAGCAAACAGG